AGGCGGAGGAAUCCCCCCCUUCCAUCUUGGCUCCUGUGUAAGGGGAGGGGCAUCCACAGGAUCACAUGAGAAGCCACCAUGCACUCCGCACCCCCCUCCGGAGCCCUGCCAUCCAUGGUGUGCUUUGGGGCUGCCUUUGCCUUCACAGAGGGUGAAGCGGGCUGGAACUCUGCCAGAGGAGGAGGCUUGGGAAGAGACCAUCUGGCACAGCAGCAGGCAUGGCACCUCUAGCUGCUCUCAAAGCUGCAGGGGCUAGUGAAGGAGCUGCCCAGGAACUUGAAAUUCAAUUCAUAUGCAAGUGCACAUUAUAGAAGCUGACAUCCAGUAUGGCAGAUCAAGAAGCCUAGCUUGAACUACUACCUGGGAGGAGCCCAAAUCAGAACUAUAAUGCAAAGACUUGAUUUCCCACCACCACAAGUAUAAUCUUCAUUAAAACGGGAGUGGAAGCAGCCAUAUGAUCCAAAAGGAGAUGGCAGUGAUAUGAGACGAAAGCCCCUUUUGUGCUAUGAUCCUGAUCUGGCUUCCAUCCUGCAACCACUAUUUAAACUGGAAAACAAACCCAGCUACAGUGAAUUGUAUUUUUAUAUUUUAUACAGUGGUUAGCUUGCUCUCCAACUUUGUCUGAAUUCAACUCCAUGAACUCAAAAUUAAAGUACUUUGAGAAUUUCUGAGA